GGGGGCGUCACGGUUUCGACGUGAUAUUUGAUGUUUUGAGAGCAUGUCGAGUUUUGUAUGGGAACUUGUAAAAAACGUACAAAUCAAAUAAGUGCAAACAAUAACGUUGCAUUCGCUUAAUUUAGAUAUUAAGUGACUUGUUGGGGAUGUUUGUCUAUCAAUUGAACCAACUAGUAUUAAAAAGAUAGAACUUGCCAAUUAGAUUUUUUUGUUUUGUAUUUGGCAAAAAUUACUAAACCGGCUUUUAUAUUAAUCUGUGCUCUUGAGGUGAUAUAAAAGUAUAUUCAAGAGAUAAACAUGUAGUGCUUGGAACUGAUAGUGUUGCGGACAUGGGUUCGACUCCCAUCGCCUCCACCA
rnacentral:tmRNA from 1 species